UCCUGGUUAGUUCAGUUGGUAGAGCGUUCCACUGAAAAUGGAGAGGUACAUGGUUCAAUCCCAGGACCAGGCG
rnacentral:tRNA from 1 species